CGGAACUUUAUCUCUUCCAGGCUGAUAUUUUCCAAAAACAGCAAGCAUGCCCCAUUUUCAAGGAAGAGCUUAUAAAAGCUCUUCUCUCACUAAUGACUUUCUCAGAUGGGCAAUGCUGUAUUCUGUGGGCAUGAAAGGCAAAGAAAACUAAACAGUGAGUGGGACCUAUAUCUGGUUCCUUAUAUUUUCGAAUGUUUUGAUUUCCACCAUCUCAGCCAUUGGGGAAAUCCUAUCCUCGGAUUAGGAACCAUGCUCAUGGAGAAUUUAGAGGAGGAAAAUCUUUACAUUGAAGGUAAGUUCUAGCAACAGCCUUUUGGAAGAAAAGAACUUUGAUUUGGGUCUCGAAUGGUAACAGAAAGUCAGCCUCAGGAAAAUUUGCAAGAAGAGAAUUCCGUGCCAAGAAGAGAACAAUCCAAGGUUCCGAGCUGGAAAAGAAGAACAGUAUGGCUUCUUCAAGCUGAUAUGAUACAGGGAGAGCCUCAGAUUGGCCGGUACUUCAUCUCAGGAGAGGGAUUCUCAGUAGAUUGCCACACUGGUCUCAAACUCUUUGCUUUAAGUUGUCUUCCUGCCUCAGCCUCCCUAGUCACUGGGAUUACAG
rnacentral:lncRNA from 1 species